rnacentral:rRNA from 1 species
GACGAACGCUGGCGGCGUGCUUAACACAUGCAAGUCGUACGGUAAGGCCCUUUCGGGGGUACACGAGUGGCGAACGGGUGAGUAACACGUGAGUAACCUGCCCACAACUUUGGGAUAACGCUAGGAAACUGGUGCUAAUACUGGAUAUGUGCUCCUGCUGCGUGGUGGGGGUUGGAAAGCUCCGGCGGUUGUGGAUGGACUCGCGGCCUAUCAGCUUGUUGGUGGGGUAGUGGCCUACCAAGGCGGCGACGGGUAGCCGGCCUGAGAGGGUGACCGGCCACAUUGGGACUGAGAUACGGCCCAGACGCCUACGGGAGGCAGCAGUGGGGAAUAUUGCACAAUGGGCGCAAGCCUGAUGCAGCAACGCCGCGUGCGGGAUGACGGCCUUCGGGUUGUAAACCGCUUUCAGCAGGGACGAAGCUUUUUGUGACGGUACCUGCAGAAGAAGCACCGGCUAACUACGUG